AUAAUGCCUUUCACAAUCGACUAGCCGUCUCAUUUUUCACCGGAGUGUAAGCUAGAACAAUGGAUGGGAGGGCGAGUGGAUCUACAUGAAAUCAAAAUCCAAAAUCAGACGCCAAGAAUUCAGGUGAACAUGGAUAAGCGGAGAUGUGAGAGACGUGACCAAUAGCUUCUCAAACCAAAGCCACAGAGAUCAAAGAAGGACGAUCGAUAUAUUAUUCACCAACAGACUAUCUAUUUCUUUUUCAAAUACAAGAUGCUUAAGUUGAGUUUGUUUACCAUUUAAUUUGAAUGGUUGCUUUUUCAAAUAAAUGUUGCUUGAUUUA